rnacentral:rRNA from 1 species
CCUACGGGAGGCAGCAGUGAGGAAUAUUGGUCAAUGGACGAGAGUCUGAACCAGCCAAGUAGCGUGAAGGAUGACUGCCCUAUGGGUUGUAAACUUCUUUUAUAUGGGAAUAAAAUGUUCCACGUGUGGGAUUUUGUAUGUCCCAUAUGAAUAAGGAUCGGCUAAUUCCGGGCCAGCAGCCGCGGUAAUACGGAGGAUCCGAGCGUUAUCCGGAUUUAUUGGGUGUAAAGGGUGCGUAGGUGGAUUGUUAAGUCAGUUGUGAAAGUUUGCGGCUCAACCGUAAAAUUGCAGUUGAAACUGGCAGUCUUGAGUACAGUAGAGGUGGGCGGAAUUCGUGGUGUAGCGGUGAAAUGCGUAGAGAUCACGAAGAACUCCGAUUGCGAAGGCAGUUCACUGGACUGCAACUGACACUGAGGCUCGAAAGUGUGGGUAUCAAACAGGAUUAGAUACCCCUGUAGUC